UGAGUGGCGGACGGGUGAGUAACGCGUGGGCAACCUGGCCUGUACAGGGGGAUAACACUUAGAAAUAGGUGCUAAUACCGCAUAACGGGAGAAGCCGCAUGGCUUUUUCCUGAAAACUCCGGUGGUAUACGAUGGAUCCGCGUCUGAUUAGCUGGUUGGCGGGGUAACAGCCCACCAAGGCGACGAUCAGUAGCCGGCCUGAGAGGGUGAACGGCCACAUUGGGACUGAGACACGGCCCAAACUCCUACGGAAGGCAGCAG
rnacentral:rRNA from 1 species